rnacentral:lncRNA from 1 species
CACCUGAAACCGUGAGCAUCCUCAACUCCCCCCAAAGUUACGGGGAGUUGAGUGGUCAACACUUCACGAAAUUGGGCCUCAAAUUUGUGCCUUGCAUUCAGCUGCUGUGUAUUGCGUUCAUAACGACGUCAAGAAGCAUGAUGCAAGAGAAGACGAGUGCAGUGACAAGACAAGAAGUGUCUCACUUGGUGACAUCAUCCUUGACCCUCCAAGAGGCAGAAAACGGUGUUCAGUAUGACCAACAUUCUCCUACAUUUCAAUGGAGGGUGACUGGAUUUCAUCUGCUGCACCCAAGUGUUCACUUCUUCUAUUUUUAGCAAGCUUGAAAAUAAUUUAAAUUAAUAGUAUUAUUUUUAUCACAAUGGCUCCCCUUCUCUGUUAAGAUCCUCAAACAAUU